rnacentral:rRNA from 1 species
UGGGGAAUAUUGGACAAUGGGGGCAACCCUGAUCCAGCGAUGCCGCGUGUGCGAAGAAGGCCUGCGGGUUGUAAAGCACUUUGGUUGGGGAAGAAGGUUGGGCGUUGAAUAGAUGCCUGAAUUGACGUUACCCCAAGAAAAAGCACCGGCUAACUCUGUGCCAGCAGCCGCGGUAAUACAGAGGGUGCGAGCGUUAAUCGGAAUGACUGGGCGUAAAGGGUGCGUAGGUGGUUAAUUAAGUUAGCUGUGAAAGCCCUGGGCUCAACCUGGGAACUGCAGCUAAAACUGAAUAGCUAGAGUAGGUGAGAGGAGUGUGGAAUUUCCGGUGGAGCGGUGAAAUGCGUAGAGAUCGGAAAGAACACCAACGGCGAAAGCACUCUGCUGGGCCGACACUGACACUGAGAGACGAAAGCUAGGGGAGCAAAUGGGAUUAGAUACCCUAGUAGUCCCUGAGCGGGCUGGCAAGGCGC